GGACAGGCGCAGUCAACAGUAGUUCUACUUCUGAAACAGCGAAUCGCAAAUCGUGGUACAGAACAGAAAGUUAAGAGCAGGCAAAGAAGUGGAAACUCCAGAGGAGAGAGAGAAGAGCAGCUGUGCAGCGUGACUGCUCACAGGGGAGCACAGAGAUUGUCAUCACUGGCACAUCCCCAACAGCGCUGCUGUGGCUGUCUGCAAAGCGCUUUUCAGACAAGCAGAAAAGUAAAGACUUCGCAUCGGCAAUUUUAGAAGUAAAAUGAGUCAUAAAAGUCAAACAAUAAAGGGAAUGAAGACAGAAUUGAAAGAAAAGUGGUAAACCUGUGUGAGGGCACCAUUUAUGCGAAACGGUCUUGCCGUUCCGGCAUGUUUUCUUGCAAGUACAAGAAAAAACCCAAAAAUUAUCCGCACUGCUACCAGGAAUAUGCUUUGACAUUAAAGAGGAGUGGCAGCAGGUUGUUUCCAUAUUCUGCUGGACACCAACGCAUUUACUAAAAGGAACCAGACGUCCAUUUUGCCAACACGUACGUCUGCUGAAGGCUGUGCCAACCCCUCUUGUUUCUCACUGUCUUUUAGCUGCGUAUAAAUCUGCCCAUAGUCCCUCUGGAAGGAGAUUUUUGUUUGGGGUGAAUAUGCUUCAGUCCGUUUCAGGCAAAAGUCCAUCACUGUGGCGUUCCCUGAUGAAGGAAGGGAAUUAAUGCCUUACCCAAGCGGAAACUCCAAGGUGGCUUUUGCCAUUUCCUCUCAUGAGAUUUCUGUGCUGAAGCCGCAGAUGCCUUAGCAACAUUAAAAUAGAUUACGUACACAAGCCUGAAACACACACGGUCUGUACUUGAAUAACUAUAAUUUUUAAAGCUGCAGGAAUGCGUGAUCAAAGUAGCCAUGACAGCUUUUUCAAUAAUCUUUCCACAGAAAUAUUAAACUAAAAACACCAACUGGGAAGAAUUCCAGCUUCAAACACUUUGCUUCUAAUGAAGGAGUUCGACAUUGUUUGACCGGAGUUGGCAUCUUGCGCUCUCCAGGAGCAAUUUCUUCUGCCGGACCCAUGAAGACGUAACGAUGACUUGUAGACCCAAAGCCACAGAAAUAGGUCCUGACCAAUUGGACCCUCUGGCACCAAUGUGGCUCUGCUCCACCUGGCCUCACUGCGAUGGCUCCACCAGCACAUGUGCAGCCUGGACAGCAUCUUCAGCCGGAAGCACUUGAUCCUCCGGAUAUGUUUCAGUCUGCCAGUCAGUCUUCCUUUUGA